rnacentral:misc_RNA from 1 species
GCAGAGGAUGCUUCGGGAGUGGCCCCCAUCUAAGUGCUUUGGAACGGGCCGUCAUAGAGGGUGAGAAUCCCGUAUGGGAUGGGGUGUCCGCGACCAUGUGAAGCUCCUUCGACGAGUCGAGUUGUUUGGGAAUGCAGCUCUAAAUGGGUGGUAAAUUUCAUCUAAAGCUAAAUAUUGGCCGGAGACCGAUAGCGCACAAGUAGAGUGAUCGAAAGAUGAAAAGCACUUUGAAAAGAGAGUUAAAAAGCACGUGAAAUUGUUGAAAGGGAAGCGCUUGCGACCAGACUCGCCUACGGGGUUCAGCCGGUAUUCGUACCGGUGUACUUCCCCGUGGGCGGGCCAGCGUCGGUUUGGGCGGCCGGUCAAAGGCCCUCGGAAUGUAACGCCUCUCGGGGCGUCUUAUAGCCGAGGGUGCCAUGCGGCCAGCCCGGACCGAGGAACGCGCUUCGGCACGGACGCUGGCAUAAUGGUCGUAAGCGACCCGUCUUGAAACACGGACCAAGGAGUCUAACAUCUACGCGAGUGUUCGGGUGUCAAACCCGUGCGCGCAGUGAAAGCGAACGGAGGUGGGAACCCUCACGGGUGCACCAUCGACCGAUCCUGAUGUCUUCGGAUGGAUUUGAGUAAGAGCGUAGCUGUUGGGACCCGAAAGAUGGUGAACUAUGCCUGAAUAGGGCGAAGCCAGAGGAAACUCUGGUGGAGGCUCGCAGCGGUUCUGACGUGCAAAUCGAUCGUCAAAUUUGGGUAUAGGGGCGAAA